rnacentral:rRNA from 1 species
GACGAACGCUGGCGGCGUGCUUAACACAUGCAAGUCGAACGGAAAGGCCCUGCUUGCAGGGUCCUCGAGUGGCGAACGGGUGAGUAACACGUGGGUGAUCUGCCCUGCACUUCGGGAUAAGCUUGGGAAACUGGGUCUAAUACCGGAUAGGAACCAUCUUUAGUGUGGUGGUUGGAAAGUUUUUUCGGUGUAGGAUGAGCUCGCGGCCUAUCAGCUUGUUGGGGGGGUAAUGGCCUACCAAGGCGGCGACGGGUAGCCGGCCUGAGAGGGUGUACGGCGACAUUGGGACGGAGAGACGGCCCAGACGCCGACGGGAGGAAGAAGGGGGGAAGAGUGAACAAGGGGCGCAAGCCGGAUGAAGAGGGGCCGCGUGGGGGAUGAAGGCUUUGGGGUUGAAAACACCGUUCGCUAGGGAAGAAGCUUUUUGUGACGGUACCUAGAUAAGAAGCACCGGCUAACUACGUG